rnacentral:rRNA from 1 species
UACAGAGGUCCCAAGCGUUGUUCGGAUUCACUGGGCGUAAAGGGUGCGUAGGUGGUUGGGUAAGUCUGAUGUGAAAUCUCCGAGCUUAACUCGGAAAUGGCAUUGGAUACUAUUCGGCUAGAGGGUUUGAGGGGGGACUGGAAUACUUGGUGUAGCAGUGAAAUGCGUAGAUAUCAAGUGGAACACCAGUGGCGAAGGCGAGUCCCUGGAAAACUCCGACACUGAGGCACGAAAGCUAGGGGAGCAAACAGG